CGGGGUGCGGAUGCACGGCUGGCUCUGCGCCCCCGCAGCGCGCGCAAGAAUGCGCAGUCCCAGGCGCCCGCUCGGAGGCACAUCCUCUCCAUUUCUCCUCGCCGGCGACUGUGACACGUCUGCGGCCGCACAUUGUGAGCGAUUGUGGGAAAGGGCCGCGAGCCUUUCCGCCGCUCCGGGCCGCCCUAAUGAGGGAACAAUCGGGCUACACGGAGCUGGCGGCGGGGUCAGCGCGGCGUCCCGCACAAUGCGCGCGGCGCCCGAGCCCCUGACAGCGCCAUAAAUUGGCCGUGCAAAGCCGAGCGCUUGGUGGUCUCCCCUGCAGAAAGGAACCGCCGCCGAGAGCGCGAAAAGGCGAGUCGGGGAACCCGCCAGGGAGCCAGUGGCGUUUUCCUCCACAUUACCUUGUUGGAACUCAGCGUAGCAGAGCAGGAGCAGUGAAGAAUAAGGAGAAAGAAAAGUAGGGGUGUAAGCCAUGUCCAGGAAGCAGCACAACUUGCCGCUCUCCAUGCAAAACCCUCAAAUUAGAAUCUUUCCAGCUAUGUAGGGUUGUAACGUAAAACUCUCAUUCAAGAUCAAAAUUCCACAUAUUUGCAACCUGCAAACAUCUAAAAUUCACACUUCAACAUCUGUGUGGCUGCCAACAUCUACUGCCAUCAUCUACUGCCAUCUAUAUCAUGUUUUUCCAGAGUGGAAGGAAAAAAAAAUGAGAUUACUACUCCUUCAAGUCUUCCAAACCCAUGUUCCAGUUCUCGGUACACCGGAUGGCUAACCAACUAGGAUCCACUUGUGCCAACCUAGGCAGGCACGGCAAGACAGUUAAUUGACAACAGCUGAAGUUGUCUUAACGGGAUGAGCGCUCGAACAUGUCCGGACAGAUCCAGGCAGCUGGUGAAAACUCACGAAUUCGCUGCAGCACAGAAGAAAUUGACAUAAAUGGAGUGGGUAGAAGAAGAUGAUCUCUGUUUUGAUUACAUGGAAAUGCUUUCGUCGUCCUUUUCUUCAGUCCCACGGCAGCCACGGGGAAACAGAGUGAUGGAAAAGAUCUAGUCAUUUGUCCAAGGAGGCGGUGGAGCUAGAAUUUCGAACCUGGCAGUUUCAAAUAGUUCUGCAGUCUGUAUCAUGCACCACGGCACCUCAUAGCCAGAUAGCAAUAACAGUAGAUAUUGCUUGUUGUCUUGUAUUUGUUGUGUGUGCAUCAUGGGCCUCUUCUUCUGGUCUUGACAGUGGAAAUUGAGAAUGACUUGUCUGCCUCUCCCAGAGCCCACUGUCCUUCUACCAUGCGACCUGGACUUUGUG